UACGUAGGGUGCUAGCGUUGUCCGGAAUCAUUGGGCGUAAAGAGCGUGUAGGCGGCUUGGUAAGUCCGCUGUGAAAGUCCAGGGCUCAACCCUGGAAUGCCAGUGGAUACUGUCAAGCUAGAGUCCGGUAGAGGCGAGUGGAAUUCCUGGUGUAGCGGUGAAAUGCGCAGAUAUCAGGAGGAACACCAAUGGCGAAGGCAGCUCGCUGGGACGGUACUGACGCUGAGACGCGAAAGCGUGGGGAGCAAGCAGG
rnacentral:rRNA from 1 species